GAACGCACCUUGCGCUCCUUGGUAUUCCGAGGAGCAUGCCUGUUUGAGUGUCAUCGAAUUCUCAACCAUGUCUUGAUCGAUUUCAAGGCCAUGGCUUGGAGUUGGGGGUUGCUGGCGGCGACGAGCUGUCGGCUCUCCUGAAAUGCAUUAGCAAAGGGCAGCAAGUCUUUGACGUGCACGGCCUUCGACGUGAUAAUGAUCGUCGUGGCUGGAGCGUCGGACAUGCAUGAAUAGGUCCUGUGCUUCUAAUCUCUCCCAUGCCUGACGGCGUGUGUUUCGAAACUUGACCUCAAAUCAGGUAGGACUACCCGCUGAACUUAAG
rnacentral:misc_RNA from 1 species